rnacentral:lncRNA from 1 species
CUGGUGUCACUUCUAAAUUCUAUCCUCUUACACAUAUUAUAUAUAUAUACUAUCCUUUGCAAGUAUUAUAUACAUAUAUAUUAUAUAUAUAUAAACAGUAAUUCAUAUCUAUAUUUUGUUGUUUAUACACGGUUUAUAUUUUGAGUUUGAGUAAGAGAAUUAGAAGUUGUUCAUGGGUCAUUCAACUAUUUCUAGUACUGGUUAGUUGGAUGAAGAGCCGUUGAAUCCUGGAGUAGGAUUUCGUCAGUGACCUUAGUACCGAGAAAAGUUCUCCAAGGGACGAAAUUUCUACUUAAAGACAGUGCACUGCACGCCUCUGCUCAACAUAAUUUGCUAUAAAUUGAUAAGUUAUUCUUUAGCCUCUCUUUAUUUUAUAUAUGAAUCCUAUAUUUUAUACCUAUUUUUCUAACAAUCUUAAGUAGAAUUUUUUUUUUGGAUUCUUAUAUGUUCCUAUAAUGCUGGCGACGAAUCUGAUACAAAGAUUAAUUUUCAUUCCCUGUGAACUAAAAAAGUUUUUCCUACUGUGAUUGUUUUGCUUUCAGUUAUAGAGUGCAUCCAAUUUUCGUUUUAAUUUAUUCCCUUUGUUAAAAAAGUUUCACUGGAAAAAAAAAAUGAAGAAAAUUACAAUCGGUAAUCAUGUGAUGUCAGUCAUCAUGUGUGGUCUGCAUGAGUAUUGUGAUAUAAAUAAUAGAAAGCAAGAACAAGGAAAUUUAAUGAAAAAUUGUAUUAUAACUAUGCCUAGAUUUUGUAUUAUGGAUGAUUUAAAGAGUUUUUUUGGUAUGCCAUGCCAUAUCUGUAAAACCCCAACUUUUUGAAUAAAGAUGAAUUUUCUAUAAAUAUUAUUUUUGAAUAUUAUGGAGUGAAAUUGAUAUAAUAGUUGUGGGUAAUAUUUAUAAAUUUUGCAAAGUACGCAAGUUAUUAUAUAAUAUUCGAUUGGUCGGGGAAUAUUCGUUUUAACAGGGAAUAUUCGUACAACGGCACAAUCAUUGGUGGAUCCCACAACAGAAUUAUUGUCAGAUUGAGAAAAAGACAAAAAUACUUUAUGAAAAUAACGGCGGAAGUUUUACCGUUAACUGUUGAAACACCCGGUGUUAAAAGUAAAAUAAUACGCGUAGUUGCACAGUAGCACACGGUAUUGAUUAUUGAUGCUUACGUGAGAAGUCACUCAGUUUUGUUCAAUUAUUAUUAUAGUAAUUGUUGUAAAUUUUGCUUAUUUUAUGGACCCCUAUUUACCCAUUUUUUAAAACUGUCGGUAAAAGUUGUUUCAGUUUUUAUAUUAUAUAUAUAAAUAUAUAUACGUAUUAUAUAUAUAAUAUGUCACAUGUUUUAAAAUGGUGGUGGGGGAGUUCACAGGAAAGUAAAGAAAAUGGAAUUGAUUUGUCUGGUGGAUUUUUUUGGCAGGUUUGGAAUGAGUUUUCAAACAUGGUCAUUAUUUGGCCAAACUUUUCAAAUCAUAUAGUAUUAAUUGAUAGCUUGCAUUCUAAUUGGUCAAGGAUAUGAUAGUAGCAUGUGUUAUAUAUAUAAAUAUAUUAUAUUUUUAUUUUGUUUGACUAAGGAGGUUACCUUUUGAAAUUAGGCGUCUGUUGAUUCAACAAAAUUCAGCCGUGAAUUUUUCUCUGCACAUAUUAUAUAUAUAUAAAUAUAUAAUAUAUUAUAUUUUAUUUAAAUGAUUUUGCUUUAAUUAUGGACCGUCCGAUUAAAGUAAAUCAAUCCGGACCGUUCAUGAGUUAGUUACUAUGCAAUCCAUUUUUCUAUAAAUAGAAGCUCAUUCCUUCAUUAUUUUCUUACGAAUUCACUGAAGCUUUAGAGAGAGAAAUUAUAGAGAAACUAUAGAAAAGUAUUCUGCUACUUCCCUACUCUUAUAUUCAGUUUCUUUUACGGUAAUGGAUAUUAUUCUUUUGUAUUUAAGAAGAGAACUUCUGUUAUUCCAUUUCUUUAUUAUUCUGUUGGAAUAACCUGUAUACGCAGAAUACCCUAUACGUGGUGACAUUCUUCUAUUAUUCUGUCUUUAUUAUUCCGUUGGAACAUCCUGUCUGUGCUAUACGUCGGACCUGGUUCCGUUUUUAUUAUUCUGUUUUUAUUAUUCCGUUGGAACAUUAUGUCUGUGCUUUACGCCGGACCUGAUUCGGUCUUUAUUAUUUCAUUCUUUAUUAUUCUGUUGGAACAUCCUGUCGGUGUGAUUUUCACCUGACCUGGUUUCAUUAUUAUUAUUCUGUUGGAAUAACCUGCCUAUGCGAAGUACCGCAUGCAUGGUGAUUUCUGUUGUUAUUCCAUUCCUUAUUAUUCUCAGUUGGUUAAAAUUUUGACUUCUAUACUCC